ensembl:lncRNA
UAUAGCCUUUUUUAACAUUAAAAAAAUAGUAUAAAAUCAAAAGGUGGGUUUUUGGAAAAAAUAAGCUUUGUGUUAUGUGUGGGGCAGUUAGAUGGGUUCAUCACACGUGUUUUGAUAUGGGUAGGUCAAAAGGUCAAGCCGCAUAAUAGAUUUAUAGCCUUUUUAACAUUAAAAAAAUAGUAUAAAAUCAAAAGGUGGGUUUUUGGAAAAAAUAAGCUUUGUGUUAUGUGUGGGGCAGUUAGCUGAGUUCACCAGAUGUGUUUUGAUAUGGGUAGGCCAAAAGGUCAAGCCGCAUAAUAGAUGUAUAGCUUUUUCUGAGUAAAAAAUAUAUAUAAAAUCAAAGGGUAGGUAUUUUGAGAAAAUAAGCUUUGUGUUAUGUGUGGGGCAGUUAGCUGAGUUCACCAGAUGUGUUUUGAUAUG